UUGUGCGAGAAACCAAGGCUUCGGCCUUGGGAGUAAAGCAGCGAACGGGCGAGUAACACGUAGGUAAUCUACCUUCGAGUGGGAGAUAAUCCACCGAAAGGUGGGCUAAUAUCCCAUAAAACCAUAAAUGCGAUGGCAUCUGUGGUAAAAAGUGGCCUCUCUAUAGAAGCUGCUGCUUGGAGAUGAGCCUGCGUCCCAUCAGCUAGUUGGUGGGGUAAUGGCCUACCAAGGUGACGACGGGUAGCCGGCCUGAGAGGGUAGUCGGCCACACUGGCACUGAGAUACGGGCCAGACUCCUACGGGAGGCAGCAGUGAGGGAUAUUGGGCAAUGGGCGCAAGCCUGACCCAGUGACACCGCGUGGGUGAUGAAGGCCUUCGGGUCGUAAAACCCUGUGGGGUGGAAAGAAUGCCUGAUUGGUGAAUAGCUUAUUGGGUUGACGGUACCACCAGAGGAAGCACCGGCUAACUCCGUGCCAGCAGCCGCGGUAAUACGGAGGGUGCGAGCGUUAUUCGGAAU
rnacentral:rRNA from 1 species